AGCAGAGCAAUCUUCCUCUCAUGGGUCUGCUAUGCACCUUAGAUGAAAUGCGUGUUCAGUGACUGUAGUUUUAACUGCCUCAAGUGAAUCAAUAAUGUUCCUGAGCAGUGUUAUCGUAAUGUCACUAUAUCCACACUGUCUAUUUUACUUUUCUCAUUGUCUUCUGUAUUAUCUCCUGCACAAAAGUUGUAUAGUGCAACCAAUUGGAGAGGAGCUAUGGAAUAAGAUCAACUUGAUGCUGUCCAUUCAGUAGUGUCAUUGGAUGUUCAUCAGGCAUAGGAUUAAAUGCUGUGAGGGGUAGGACUAUCAUCUCCUCC